rnacentral:rRNA from 1 species
CAGUAGCCGCGGGAAAACGUAGGUGGCAAGCGUUGUCCGGAAUUAGUGGGCGUAAAGCGCGCGCAGGCGGAUCAGUCAGUCUGUCUUAAAAGUUCGGGGCUUAACCCCGUGAUGGGAUGGAAACUGCUGAUCUAGAGUAUCGGAGAGGAAAGUGGAAUUCCUAGUGUAGCGGUGAAAUGCGUAGAUAUUAGGAAGAACACCAGUGGCGAAGGCGACUUUCUGGACGAAAACUGACGCUGAGGCGCAAAAGCCAGGGGAGCGAACGGGAUUAGAUACCCGCGUAGUCCCUGUCUCUUAUACA